UACGAAGGUCCCAAGCGUUAUCCGGAUUUAUUGGGUUUAAAGGGUGCGUAGGCGGGUUAUUAAGUCAGUGGUGAAAGCCUUCAGCUUAACUGAAGAAUUGCCAUUGAUACUGAUGAUCUUGAGUAUGAUUGAGGUGGGCGGAAUGUGUCAUGUAGCGGUGAAAUGCUUAGAUAUGACACAGAACACCGAUUGCGAAGGCAGCUCACUAAGUCAUAACUGACGCUGAUGCACGAAAGCGUGGGGAACAAACAGG
rnacentral:rRNA from 1 species